AGUAAUGUUAAGGAUGAAGGAAGCCAAUAGCGAGACUCUCGAGCCUACGAACAGAAACUUGGUAUAAGGCUAAAUGGGAAAGGAUAAGACUGCACAACAAGUUGAAGUCCGAAUGGUAAACGUAUUCCCCAAAACAGUAAACCAAGAGGUUGUGAA
rnacentral:ncRNA from 1 species